rnacentral:rRNA from 1 species
GAAUUCGCCCUUAGAGUUUCAUCCUGGCUCAGGAUGAACGCUGGCGGCGUGCCUAACACAUGCAAGUCGAACGGAGUGUUGAGAGCUUGCUUUUAACACUUAGUGGCGGACGGGUGAGUAAUGUAUGAGCAACCUGCCUUUCAGAGGGGGACAACAGUUGGAAACGACUGCUAAUACCGCAUAAAGUAUUUAGGAGGCAUCUCCUGAAUACCAAAGGAGCAAUCCGCUGAAAGAUGGGCUCAUAUCUGAUUAGCUAGUUGGUGAGGUAACGGCUCACCAAGGCUGCGAUCAGUAGCCGGACUGAGAGGUUGAACGGCCACAUUGGGACUGAGAUACGGCCCAGACUCCUACGGGAGGCAGCAGUGGGGAAUAUUGGGCAAUGGGCGAAAGCCUGACCCAGCAACGCCGCGUGAAGGAAGAAGGUCUUCGGAUUGUAAACUUCUUUUAUGAGGGACGAAGGACGUGACGGUACCUCAUGAAUAAGCCACGGCUAACUACGUGCCAGCAGCCGCGGUAAUACGUAGGUGGCAAGCGUUAUCCGGAUUUACUGGGUGUAAAGGGCGCGUAGGCGGGGAUGCAAGUCAGAUGUGAAAUCUAUGGGCUUAACCCAUAAACUGCAUUUGAAACUGUAUCUCUUGAGUGCUGGAGAGGUAGAUGGAAUUCCUUGUGUAGCGGUGAAAUGCGUAGAUAUAAGGAAGAACACCAGUGGCGAAGGCGAUCUACUGGACAGUAACUGACGCUGAGGCGCGAAAGCGUGGGGAGCAAACAGGAUUAGAUACCCUGGUAGUCCACGCUGUAAACGAUGAAUACUAGGUGUGGGGGGACUGACCCCCUCCGUGCCGCAGUUAACACAAUAAGUAUUCCACCUGGGGAGUACGCCGGCAACGGUGAAACUCAAAGGAAUUGACGGGGGCCCGCACAAGCGGAGGAACAUGUGGUUUAAUUCGAUGAUACGCGAGGAACCUUACCCGGGCUUGAAUUGCACUCGAAUAUAGCGGAAACGUUAUAGCUAGCAAUAGCGAGUGUGAAGGUGCUGCAUGGUUGUCGUCAGCUCGUGCCGUGAGGUGUCGGCUUAAGUGCCAUAACGAGCGCAACCCUUGUCUAUAGUUACUAACAGGUCAUGCUGAGGACUCUAUGGAGACUGCCAUCGUAAGAUGUGAGGAAGGUGGGGAUGACGUCAAAUCAGCACGGCCCUUACGUCCGGGGCCACACACGUGUUACAAUGGGGGGUACAGAGGGCCGCUACCACGCAAGUGGAUGCCAAUCCCGAAAGCCUCUCUCAGUUCGGACUGGAGUCUGCAACCCGACUCCACGAAGCUGGAUUCGCUAGUAAUCGCGCAUCAGCCAUGGCGCGGUGAAUACGUUCCCGGGCCUUGCACUCACCGCCCGUCA